rnacentral:ncRNA from 1 species
GGUCCCGAGGCGACAUAAAAGGGAAUCCGGUGUGAAUCCGGAGCAGUACCCGCUACUGUAAGUUCCCUGCAUGUUGAGCAGAAGCUAUAGGAAAUCACCGCUUUACCACUGUCGUAGGGCUUCGGUCCGAAAACGGGAAGGUACUUUCCUUAGGAACAAGUCAGGAAACCUGCCAGUACAUUUUA